GAUGAAGAACGCAGCGAAAUGCGAUAAGUAAUGUGAAUUGCAGAAUUCAGUGAAUCAUCGAAUCUUUGAACGCACAUUGCGCCCGCUAGUAUUCUGGCGGGCAUGCCUGUCCGAGCGUCAUUUUAACCCUCAAGCCCCCGGGCUUGGUGUUGGGGAUCGGCGAGCCUCCGCGCCCGCCGUCCCCUAAAUCUAGUGGCGGUCUCGCUGUAGCUUCCUCUGCGUAGUAGCACACCUCGCACUGGGAAACAGCGCGGCCACGCCGUUAAACCCCCAACUUCUGAACGUUUGACCUCGGAUCAGGUAGGAAUACCCGCUGAACUUAAGCAUAUCAAUAAGCGGAGGA
rnacentral:misc_RNA from 1 species